UGCUUUAUUCACAAAUGGUUUUUUUCUACAUAGGUAUUACUGACAAGAUCUUUUUGCUAUGAAGCAGAUCAAAGAAUUAAGAGAAAUAUUUAUGAGCUCACACUGCCUGGAGAAUCAAAGAUAGAAAUAGAUGACAUAAACAGACUAAUUGCAGACAUAAUGUUUAAGUCUAAUGGUUAUGCUGCUGAGCAUCCAUUAGCCAGAAAUUGGUGAUGUGCUACAGACGUUACUUUUUUCCUGAAAUAGCUUGACUAUACUGGUAGCCCCAACUUUAGAAUUUAAAUGUGUAGAGCACUGUUUUGUUUGUAUGUGUAUAUUAACAUGCAAUUGUUUUAUGUGAUUAUUAUUUUUGUCCAUGACGAAGAUUUGAAAGGUUUUAACUGUUUUGGAAGUACUAAAUAUUAAAAAUUACUGGUACUAAUAUUGGUA
rnacentral:sRNA from 1 species